GCGGGAUUAACUCAGUGGUAGAGUGUCACCUUGCCAAGGUGAAAGUCGCGAGUCCGAAUCUCGUAUCCCGCUCCA
rnacentral:tRNA from 8 species